AAUCAACGCUGGCGGCGUGCCUCAGACAUGCAAGUCGAACGAUUAAAGCUCUCUUCGGAGAGUGUAUAGAGUGGCGCACGGGUGAGUAACACGUAAGUAAUCUACCUUUGAGUGGGGAAUAACAGUCGGAAACGACUGCUAAUACCGCAUAAUGCAGCGGCAUCGCGAGAUGACAGUUGUUAAAGGAGCAAUCCGCUUAAAGAGGAGCUUGCGGCAGAUUAGCUAGUUGGUAAGGUAAUGGCUUACCAAGGUUACGAUCUGUAUCCGGUCUAAGAGGACGGUCGGACACACUGACACUGAAUAACGGGUCAGACUCCUACGGGAGGCAGCAGUCGGGAAUUUUGGGCAAUGGGCGAAAGCCUGACCCAGCAACGCCGCGUGAAGGAUGAAGUAUUUCGGUAUGUAAACUUCGAAAGAAUAGGAAGAAUAAAUGACGGUACUAUUUAUAAGGUCCGGCUAACUACGUGCCAGCAGCCGCGGUAAGAC
rnacentral:rRNA from 1 species